rnacentral:lncRNA from 1 species
CUAGUUUAUUUGCAAUGUCCAACCAGGCUACUCCUUCUCAAGUCUUCAGACACACAGCCCUCUCUGCUGUGAAACCCUCUCCUCACCUCCGAGACCCGCUCAUUAUUGUCUGCUGAAUUCUACUCAUUCUUCAGGGCUGACAUACAGACAACCCGCUGGGAAGCCUCCGCCAACCAUUUCUGAAAAAUUAGUCCCUCUUACCAUAGCACUUACCUACUCCCCCGCUUCUAUUCUAUUCUCUUCACCCAGCCUUUCUAGAUAGCCAAGUAUGUGCCAGUGUCCUGGACUAAGGUUGGAGCAGGUCGUCAGGAAAAGCAGCAGAGGAGGAACACCAUUUCAGUAGGAUCCUGAACGAUGACUAGAGACUCACUCGGUGAAUGAGAAAGGGCAGGACACGCCCAGGACACGCCCGGGAGGAAGCAGCAAGAGGACAGGCUUGGAGAUGGAAAUAUGAGGAAAUGAUUCCUCGUGGCUGCUGGAGAAGAGGGAAAUGAUAGUUCCAUGUGGAUGGGGAUUAUAGUGCAAGCAUUUGACAUGGAGGCUGACAAGAGAGAGAACGGCAGGAGAAUCAUGCCUGGAGAAAGAAUGGCAGAUUAGUGGUUACUAAUUAAGAGUUAUUUCGAGCUCAAAGGGAAAACAAAUAUAAAACUUGAAAGAUGCAUCCCCGGGUAAUCUUUUACAAAUUUGGAAAAAGGAAGAAGAGCCAAAGAACCUGGAUACUCUUAAGCUCAUGAAAUGUAUCAGUGACAAAGCCAAAUAAAAACUAUCACCUUCUAUCUGGACUCCACCUUAGAAAUGUGCUAUUGAAUCAUUUCAGUAUUUUACUGAACUCUUCCAUUAUGACACCCUCCAUAGAUUAGGCCCCCUCCUCCCCACCUCCCUUGUUUUCUAAAAAAAUCACACUGGUAAGCACCCACUCAACUCACUCCUAAGCAUCCCGCAUGUUAAUUUCUCAACAACACAAAUUUAAUUUGUCUCAGCAUUAUUCUCCUGUGGUGCGUACCCCUCCAUAUAAACAAAAUGGGGAUUCGUUGCCAUGACAACAGAGUGUGACUUUGAUCAGCUUCAAUGAUCAUUGGCAGUCACAUGCCUUUGAUAGAUACCAAAUUGUGAGUAAGGUUUGAUUAUCCAAUUUUUCAAUCUCUGAUUA